AAUAUGAGGGACUUUGAGUUUUUGUUUGUAGUGUUUGACCACUCGUCUUAUUUAAAAAAAUUUAGAAUUAUUAUUUACUUUUUUGUGACUUACUUUAUUAUUCAAAGUACUUUACGCACAACUUUUUGUUUUUUAUAUUUGCAUAAAUUUUUUUUAAUAAGACGAGUGGUCAAACACUACAAACAAAAACUUAAA
rnacentral:pre_miRNA from 1 species